AGCGUUUCUGCGUAAUAUGGGCUCUUGUGUAAACAGCAUUGUGUGCGUUCCUGACUAAAAUACCACACACACACCUAUACUACAAUUGUUCAACUUCAUCAUUAAAGAGUGCCUGAAAGCCUCUCUGUGCCCUACUCUCUGACCGGAGUCCUUGUCCUAAGAAGAUAUCAGACCAGCAUUCCGCAUCCAGAGUAACCUACUCUAUCACACACACCAUCACUUGAAGUAAAUAGUAGUAUUUCAGUUUGAGCACAUCAUUAAAUAGUUAGUUUGACAUUUGCAUGUAGACUGGAGUAGUUCAGGCAAUAAGAUGGGAUGUUGCUAUGUGACAGGAAGGAGGAAUAUAAAACUGCUUCGGCUUCUCCAAGUUAGGAGUGCCACUUGUUGGACUUGACCUCCUCCAGGAACUGCAGUUCUGUAUGACCACGCUCGCUUGUAAUAAAGCAACUUUUUGUUCA